GGUCCAUUUGUCUAGUGGUCAGGACGUCAGGUUUUGAUUCGAAGUUGUCUCUUAACUUCUGAAAGCCCCGGUUCGAACCCGGGAUGGACCU
rnacentral:tRNA from 1 species